UUUAAUCGGUAAAUCGAUUGGGUAAUCUUGUAUCCGCCAGCAAAUCGAGCGAAGGAGCAUAUAGUGCGUUUUGAUCACAAAGGAGUGGAUUUAGAGGGUAGAGAAGUAUCAAGGUGAAAUAGGCUUAUGUUCAUAAGCCUGCGAGGUUAGAGUCGACAUUAUGUCAGUGGUGUUGCGCAGCUUUGCAUCUUUGGCGAGUCACUGGUGGUCAACUUGGUUUAGUAGUCGUGGCAUGUUAUGUAAUAGUUUAAUCUUUAACCUUCCGCUGGAUAAAUGUUAAGUUUUUAAAUGUAAUAGAUUUUAAUUAUGCUUUUAAGCUAAAAGAAAAAGGAAAAAUUUCAGCACGGGUUUUCGAUACUGAAACGUGACAUCACUUAUUCGGUGGGUUACCUACCGGGUAAGGGGUGUUACAAGUUUUGGUAUCAGAGCCUAGGUUUAGGCGGUUCUGGAAAGAAGUGAUUCAGUAAAGUGUGUAGAAACAUGCCACAUAGGUUUAAUUGUCUGUUAGUACCAGUGACUCGAUGCAGCUGCUUAUGUCUAAAGUGGAAAGAAGUUAACAAGGUACGGGACAUAGUUUCCCGUGUGACCGAGAAAGAUGUUAUAUGGGACUGGCCACCCCAUAUAGCUCUAAUCUCGGUAGCGUCGGUAUGUGUAAAAGAUUUAAAAAAAAAAUUCAGGGAGGAUGGGUCUGAAAAUGUUGAUGAAAAGUAUGUCCUAAUGAAAGAUACUAAUAAAUAUAUGCAGAUUAUGAAAGAGUAUAAGUAAAAGAGAAGAAAAUGAGUUAAAGGAAUGAUAUGGAAAGAAAGUAAGUUAUAGACUAAGUGACCAUCAUGAUAUAAAAGUGUAACACGAAAAUUCACAAAGGUAUGUGGAUUGUCUGAUAUAAGAUGGAUUAAGAGUCAUAAAGUAAUAUCCUAUAAUGAUAAACAAAAGUAUAGAAAUAUGUGAAAGGAAAUGUGUUUGGCAAAAUGAUAAAUAUUGAUAUGAAAACAUAUGAAACUAUAAGGCAUUAUAUGAAUAAAACCAUAAAUGUGCGAAUGAGAAAAUGCGACGAAUAAGAAAUAAAUGAUAUGAUCUGAACAUGUGUGCCCCUAUAUGGAUUACAUGUGUACUUCGAAUCGGGCAAUAUGAGAUAUGACGUGAUGUGAUGGAAAUAUGAACUGAAUAAUCGUGCAAGACAAUAAAUUAUAUGAUUGGAAAUGUGAACUCCGUGAGAAUUAUGUGUGCGCUCGAAUACGAGCUAUAUAAAUGUUAGAACCGAAUGAUGAUUCAGAAAUGAAAUGGAAAAUGGGAAUGUAUGCUCUAAGCGAGCUGUAUAGUAUAUGAUAAGAUAUGUCUAAAAAUAUGAGUUUGAAAUUGAGCUAUAUGAUAUAAAAUGGUAUUCUGGUUGAAAGUGUUGUCUGUGAUCUGUAAAUGUGUUAGUUAUGGAUAAGAAUGAGUUUUGAAAAUAAAUAUGGUUGUUGAUGAAUACUGACUUGAUAUUUGAAUUAUGUUGUGAUUUGGUGGUUUGAUUUGAUAAUCUGUGAUUAACAUUGUAUCUUGUUGGUUUUGGGGAAGCACUGGUUAUAGAGAAAACGCUGCCCAAUUUUUGCUAGAAAUUGAUCAGAUAAAUUAAUACGAAAUUGUGGUAAAUAAACUGAUAAGUGAUAAUACAUGAAGAGAAUGAUGUUACAUGAUGACUUAAGAAAGGAAAAAGGGAAAAGAUAAGAAGUGUUGUGAAUGAUAAUAAAGGAAAACGUAAUGAAAUGAUGAUAUGUGGAAAGUGAAAUGCACCCUUCGUCGGCUAUAAGUGCCCGAAUAGGGACUAUGCAAUUGGGACUAUACAAUAUAUGAUGAGUAUGUGAAUUAUACAUAUGCGUGAUGAAUAUGAUAUGUGCGCCUCAUGUGGACAAAGAAAAGAUGCAAAUAACAUGGAAAUUACUAUGUAAAGAAAUGAUAAUGUGACAAAUGUGCAUGAAAUAUAUUAGAGAUAAUGAUAAUAUUAUUAUGUGAUCGCAAAAUGUGGCUAUGUGUUAAGAUGUGAUUAUGUGAUUUUGUAUGUCAUUCUGUGUUUGGUUAUGGAAGUGAGGAUACGCUAUGUAGAUGAGGAUAUAGGAUGUCGUGGAAUGGCAUACGUAUAUGCGACGCUUAUAGGAAUGAUGUAAACCCGAGGGAAUUUCGAGGACGAAAUUCCUUUUAGGGGGGAUGAGUUGUAACAUCCCGAAUUAUAGGCACCAAUAAAAGGUUUGGAUAUGUGGUGAGGAAUAGUAGUUAAGUUAAACCGUAAGGUAUAAAUUUGAUACGAAAUGCCGAUUAGUCAAUUUUCGGCAAUUUCUUUUGUCCGUGUAAAAUCAUAAAUCGAAGCUAAGGGGUAAUAAUUUUAUAAAUUACAAAUUAUGGCCUAGAAUAAUUGUUGAUAAUGUGAGGAAUUGUUUUGGGCCAUUUGAAGGUAAUUAAAAAAAUUUCUAUCGCCGAUAAUUUCAGUUUUUAACGAAAACGAUCGGCGAAACUUUUGAAGAUAUAGACAGGAAUAAUUUUGCCUUAAACUAGAAUUUAAAUGCUAAAUGAUGAUAUAAAGAGUUCCUAAAUGUGAUAUCAUAUGAUAGGGCAAUAAAAUGUUACAAGAUAAUUAAUUUAUUUAAAAACUAACUAAAUAAUUAAAUAAUGAUUAGAAUUCUCUAGAGAAUUCUUUUGUCUAUCAUCAACUCCAAACCCCCCCUCAUUUCAGCCAGAAGCACGUCCUCCCCCUCUCCAUGGAAGACCAAAAGCUUAAGCUUUUUAAUUUCCAAAUAUUUGUCAUUUAAUCGGUAAAUCGAUCGGGUAAUCUUGUAUCCGCCAGCAAAUCGAGCGAAGGAGCAUAUAGUGCGUUUUGAUCACAAAGGAGUGGAUUUAGAGGGUAGAGAAGUAUCAAGGUGAAAUAGGCUUAUGUUCAUAAGCCUGCGAGGUUAGAGUCGACAUUAUGUCAGUGGUGUUGCGCAGCUUUGCAUCUUUGGCGAGUCACUGGUGGUCAACUUGGUUUAGUAGUCGUGGCAUGUUAUGUAAUAGUUUAAUCUUUAACCUUCCGCUGGAUAAAUGUUAAGUUUUUAAAUGUAAUAGAUUUUAAUUAUGCUUUUAAGCUAAAAAGAAAAAGGAAAAAUUUCAGCACGGGUUUUCGAUACUGAAACGUGACAUCACUUAUUCGGUGGGUUACCUACCGGGUAAGGGGUGUUACAAGUUUUGGUAUCAGAGCCUAGGUUUAGGCGGUUCUGGAAAGAAGUGAUUCAGUAAAGUGUGUAGAAACAUGCCACAUAGGUUUAAUUGUCUGUUAGUACCAGUGACUCGAUGCAGCUGCUAAUGUCUAAAGUGGAAAGAAGUUAACAAGGUACGGGACAUAGUUUCCCGUGUGACCGAGAAAGAUGUUAUAUGGGACUGGCCACCCCAUAUAGCUCUAAUCUCGGUAGCGUCGGUAUGUGUAAAAGAUUUAAAAAAAAAAUUCAGGGAGGAUGGGUCUGAAAAUGUUGAUGAAAAGUAUGUCCUAAUGAAAGAUACUAAUAAAUAUAUGCAGAUUAUGAAAGAGUAUAAGUAAAAGAGAAGAAAAUGAGUUAAAGGAAUGAUAUGGAAAGAAAGUAAGUUAUAGACUAAGUGACCAUCAUGAUAUAAAAGUGUAACACGAAAAUUCACAAAGGUAUGUGGAUUGUCUGAUAUAAGAUGGAUUAAGAGUCAUAAAGUAAUAUCCUAUAAUGAUAAACAAAAGUAUAGAAAUAUGUGAAAGGAAAUGUGUUUGGCAAAAUGAUAAAUAUUGAUAUGAAAACAUAUGAAACUAUAAGGCAUUAUAUGAAUAAAACCAUAAAUGUGCGAAUGAGAAAAUGCGACGAAUAAGAAAUAAAUGAUAUGAUCUGAACAUGUGUGCCCCUAUAUGGAUUACAUGUGUACUUCGAAUCGGGCAAUAUGAGAUAUGACGUGAUGUGAUGGAAAUAUGAACUGAAUAAUCGUGCAAGACAAUAAAUUAUAUGAUUGGAAAUGUGAACUCCGUGAGAAUUAUGUGUGCGCUCGAAUACGAGCUAUAUAAAUGUUAGAACCGAAUGAUGAUUCAGAAAUGAAAUGGAAAAUGGGAAUGUAUGCUCUAAGCGAGCUGUAUAGUAUAUGAUAAGAUAUGUCUAAAAAUAUGAGUUUGAAAUUGAGCUAUAUGAUAUAAAAUGGUAUUCUGGUUGAAAGUGUUGUCUGUGAUCUGUAAAUGUGUUAGUUAUGGAUAAGAAUGAGUUUUGAAAAUAAAUAUGGUUGUUGAUGAAUACUGACUUGAUAUUUGAAUUAUGUUGUGAUUUGGUGGUUUAAUUUGAUAAUCUGUGAUUAACAUUGUAUCUUGUUGGUUUUGGGGAAGCACUGGUUAUAGAGAAAACGCUGCCCAAUUUUUGCUAGAAAUUGAUCAGAUAAAUUAAUACGAAAUUGUGGUAAAUAAACUGAUAAGUGAUAAUACAUGAAGAGAAUGAUGUUACAUGAUGACUUAAGAAAGGAAAAAGGGAAAAGAUAAGAAGUGUUGUGAAUGAUAAUAAAGGAAAACGUAAUGAAAUGAUGAUAUGUGGAAAGUGAAAUGCACCCUUCGUCGGCUAUAAGUGCCCGAAUAGGGACUAUGCAAUUGGGACUAUACAAUAUAUGAUGAGUAUGUGAAUUAUACAUAUGCGUGAUGAAUAUGAUAUGUGCGCCUCAUGUGGACAAAGAAAAGAUGCAAAUAACAUGGAAAUUACUAUGUAAAGAAAUGAUAAUGUGACAAAUGUGCUUGAAAUAUAUUAGAGAUAAUGAUAAUAUUAUUAUGUGAUCGCAAAAUGUGGCUAUGUGUUAAGAUGUGAUUAUGUGAUUUUGUAUGUCAUUCUGUGUUUGGUUAUGGAAGUGAGGAUACGCUAUGUAGAUGAGGAUAUAGGAUGUCGUGGAAUGGCAUACGUAUAUGCGACGCUUAUAGGAAUGAUGUAAACCCGAGGGAAUUUCGAGGACGAAAUUCCUUUUAGGGGGGAUGAGUUGUAACAUCCCGAAUUAUAGGCACCAAUAAAAGGUUUGGAUAUGUGGUGAGGAAUAGUAGUUAAGUUAAACCGUAAGGUAUAAAUUUGAUACGAAAUGCCGAUUAGUCAAUUUUCGGCAAUUUCUUUUGUCCGUGUAAAAUCAUAAAUCGAAGCUAAGGGGUAAUAAUUUUAUAAAUUACAAAUUAUGGCCUAGAAUAAUUGUUGAUAAUGUGAGGAAUUGUUUUGGGCCAUUUGAAGGUAAUUAAAAAAAUUUCUAUCGCCGAUAAUUUCAGUUUUUAACGAAAACGAUCGGCGAAACUUUUGAAGAUAUAGACAGGAAUAAUUUUGCCUUAAACUAGAAUUUAAAUGCUAAAUGAUGAUAUAAAGAGUUCCUAAAUGUGAUAUCAUAUGAUAGGGCAAUAAAAUGUUACAAGAUAAUUAAUUUAUUUAAAAACUAACUAAAUAAUUAAAUAAUGAUUAGAAUUCUCUAGAGAAUUCUUUUGUCUAUCAUCAACUCCAAACCCCCCCUCAUUUCAGCCAGAAGCACGUCCUCCCCCUCUCCAUGGAAGACCAAAAGCUUAAGCUUUUUAAUUUCCAAAUAUUUGUCAUUUAAUCGGUAAAUCGAUCGGGUAAUCUUGUAUCCGCCAGCAAAUCGAGCGAAGGAGCAUAUAGUGCGUUUUGAUCACAAAGGAGUGGAUUUAGAGGGUAGAGAAGUAUCAAGGUGAAAUAGGCUUAUGUUCAUAAGCCUGCGAGGUUAGAGUCGACAUUAUGUCAGUGGUGUUGCGCAGCUUUGCAUCUUUGGCGAGUCACUGGUGGUCAACUUGGUUUAGUAGUCGUGGCAUGUUAUGUAAUAGUUUAAUCUUUAACCUUCCGCUGGAUAAAUGUUAAGUUUUUAAAUGUAAUAGAUUUUAAUUAUGCUUUUAAGCUAAAAAGAAAAAGGAAAAAUUUCAGCACGGGUUUUCGAUACUGAAACGUGACAUCACUUAUUCGGUGGGUUACCUACCGGGUAAGGGGUGUUACAAGUUUUGGUAUCAGAGCCUAGGUUUAGGCGGUUCUGGAAAGAAGUGAUUCAGUAAAGUGUGUAGAAACAUGCCACAUAGGUUUAAUUGUCUGUUAGUACCAGUGACUCGAUGCAGCUGCUUAUGUCUAAAGUGGAAAGAAGUUAACAAGGUACGGGACAUAGUUUCCCGUGUGACCGAGAAAGAUGUUAUAUGGGACUGGCCACCCCAUAUAGCUCUAAUCUCGGUAGCGUCGGUAUGUGUAAAAGAUUUAAAAAAAAAAUUCAGGGAGGAUGGGUCUGAAAAUGUUGAUGAAAAGUAUGUCCUAAUGAAAGAUACUAAUAAAUAUAUGCAGAUUAUGAAAGAGUAUAAGUAAAAGAGAAGAAAAUGAGUUAAAGGAAUGAUAUGGAAAGAAAGUAAGUUAUAGACUAAGUGACCAUCAUGAUAUAAAAGUGUAACACGAAAAUUCACAAAGGUAUGUGGAUUGUCUGAUAUAAGAUGGAUUAAGAGUCAUAAAGUAAUAUCCUAUAAUGAUAAACAAAAGUAUAGAAAUAUGUGAAAGGAAAUGUGUUUGGCAAAAUGAUAAAUAUUGAUAUGAAAACAUAUGAAACUAUAAGGCAUUAUAUGAAUAAAACCAUAAAUGUGCGAAUGAGAAAAUGCGACGAAUAAGAAAUAAAUGAUAUGAUCUGAACAUGUGUGCCCCUAUAUGGAUUACAUGUGUACUUCGAAUCGGGCAAUAUGAGAUAUGACGUGAUGUGAUGGAAAUAUGAACUGAAUAAUCGUGCAAGACAAUAAAUUAUAUGAUUGGAAAUGUGAACUCCGUGAGAAUUAUGUGUGCGCUCGAAUACGAGCUAUAUAAAUGUUAGAACCGAAUGAUGAUUCAGAAAUGAAAUGGAAAAUGGGAAUGUAUGCUCUAAGCGAGCUGUAUAGUAUAUGAUAAGAUAUGUCUAAAAAUAUGAGUUUGAAAUUGAGCUAUAUGAUAUAAAAUGGUAUUCUGGUUGAAAGUGUUGUCUGUGAUCUGUAAAUGUGUUAGUUAUGGAUAAGAAUGAGUUUUGAAAAUAAAUAGGUUGUUGAUGAAUACUGACUUGAUAUUUGAAUUAUGUUGUGAUUUGGUGGUUUGAUUUGAUAAUCUGUGAUUAACAUUGUAUCUUGUUGGUUUUGGGGAAGCACUGGUUAUAGAGAAAACGCUGCCCAAUUUUUGCUAGAAAUUGAUCAGAUAAAUUAAUACGAAAUUGUGGUAAAUAAACUGAUAAGUGAUAAUACAUGAAGAGAAUGAUGUUACAUGAUGACUUAAGAAAGGAAAAAGGGAAAAGAUAAGAAGUGUUGUGAAUGAUAAUAAAGGAAAACGUAAUGAAAUGAUGAUAUGUGGAAAGUGAAAUGCACCCUUCGUCGGCUAUAAGUGCCCGAAUAGGGACUAUGCAAUUGGGACUAUACAAUAUAUGAUGAGUAUGUGAAUUAUACAUAUGCGUGAUGAAUAUGAUAUGUGCGCCUCAUGUGGACAAAGAAAAGAUGCAAAUAACAUGGAAAUUACUAUGUAAAGAAAUGAUAAUGUGACAAAUGUGCUUGAAAUAUAUUAGAGAUAAUGAUAAUAUUAUUAUGUGAUCGCAAAAUGUGGCUAUGUGUUAAGAUGUGAUUAUGUGAUUUUGUAUGUCAUUCUGUGUUUGGUUAUGGAAGUGAGGAUACGCUAUGUAGAUGAGGAUAUAGGAUGUCGUGGAAUGGCAUACGUAUAUGCGACGCUUAUAGGAAUGAUGUAAACCCGAGGGAAUUUCGAGGACGAAAUUCCUUUUAGGGGGGAUGAGUUGUAACAUCCCGAAUUAUAGGCACCAAUAAAAGGUUUGGAUAUGUGGUGAGGAAUAGUAGUUAAGUUAAACCGUAAGGUAUAAAUUUGAUACGAAAUGCCGAUUAGUCAAUUUUCGGCAAUUUCUUUUGUCCGUGUAAAAUCAUAAAUCGAAGCUAAGGGGUAAUAAUUUUAUAAAUUACAAAUUAUGGCCUAGAAUAAUUGUUGAUAAUGUGAGGAAUUGUUUUGGGCCAUUUGAAGGUAAUUAAAAAAAUUUCUAUCGCCGAUAAUUUCAGUUUUUAACGAAAACGAUCGGCGAAACUUUUGAAGAUAUAGACAGGAAUAAUUUUGCCUUAAACUAGAAUUUAAAUGCUAAAUGAUGAUAUAAAGAGUUCCUAAAUGUGAUAUCAUAUGAUAGGGCAAUAAAAUGUUACAAGAUAAUUAAUUUAUUUAAAAACUAACUAAAUAAUUAAAUAAUGAUUAGAAUUCUCUAGAGAAUUCUUUUGUCUAUCAUCAACUCCAAACCCCCCCUCAUUUCAGCCAGAAGCACGUCCUCCCCCUCUCCAUGGAAGACCAAAAGCUUAAGCUUUUUAAUUUCCAAAUAUUUGUCAUUUAAUCGGUAAAUCGAUCGGGUAAUCUUGUAUCCGCCAGCAAAUCGAGCGAAGGAGCAUAUAGUGCGUUUUGAUCACAAAGGAGUGGAUUUAGAGGGUAGAGAAGUAUCAAGGUGAAAUAGGCUUAUGUUCAUAAGCCUGCGAGGUUAGAGUCGACAUUAUGUCAGUGGUGUUGCGCAGCUUUGCAUCUUUGGCGAGUCACUGGUGGUCAACUUGGUUUAGUAGUCGUGGCAUGUUAUGUAAUAGUUUAAUCUUUAACCUUCCGCUGGAUAAAUGUUAAGUUUUUAAAUGUAAUAGAUUUUAAUUAUGCUUUUAAGCUAAAAAGAAAAAGGAAAAAUUUCAGCA